UAGGGAAUCUUCCACAAUGGACGCAAGUCUGAUGGAGCAACGCCGCGUGAGUGAAGAAGGUCCUCGGAUCGUAAAACUCUGUUGUUAGAGAAGAACACGAGUGAGAGUAACUGUUCAUUCGAUGACGGUAUCUAACCAGCAAGUCACGGCUAACUACGCGCCAG
rnacentral:rRNA from 1 species